ncrna:unclassified sequences S15-Flavobacteria ribosomal protein leader
UAUCUUUGCGCCCGAAAAAAAAUUACAUAAUAAUCAUUAAAUUAAUAUUGGAAUG